GUUUCCGGAUGAUAACUCAAGAACGCUUACGCCUAGGAUCAUGAAACUUCAUAGGUACAUUGAUCAUGACUCGCAGAUGACCCAUAUUGACUUUCAGGUCACUAGGUCAAAGGUCACGGUGACUUGACACAGUUAAAUGGUUCAGGAUGAUAAAUCAAGAAAACUUACGCCUAGGAUCAUGAAACUUUAUAGGUAUAUUUAUCAUGACUCGCAGAUGGCCCCUAUUGAUUUUCAGGUCACUAGGUCAAAGGUCAAGGUCACAGUGCCAAAAAACGUAUUCACACAAUUUCUGCCACUACAACUGACAGCCCAUAUGGGGGGCAUGCAUGUUUUUCAAACAGCCCUUGUUUUAAUUUAUAUUGAAAUAUAUGUUUAAUAAGUUUUUUUUUACACAUUUUAUAUAAAUUAUAAGCUAUUUGACAAAAUCGUAUAAUCUCGCUUUAAACUAAACUGAUCAUAACGCAGAUGCUGGUUAAUAUUUGGGUUGUAGUAUGUUUUGUGAAUAUUAUAUUGUAAAAUAUAUAUUUAGUUAUUUAUUUGAUUAAUAAAUUGUUACUACACACAUAAAA